GCCCCUAUAGCUCAACGGAUAGAGCAGACCCGUCCUAAGGGUAAGAUGUGGGUUCAAUUCCUGCUAGGGGCACUA
rnacentral:tRNA from 1 species